UACGGAAGGCAGCAGUGGGGAAUAUUGCACAAUGGGCGAAAGCCUGAUGCAGCUAUGCCGCGUGUAUGAAGAAGGCCUUAGGGUUGUAGAGUACUUUCAUCGGGGAGGAAAAAACAAAACUAAUAAUUUUAUUUCUUGACGUUACCCGAAAAAGAAGCACCGGCUAACUCCGUGCCAGCAGCCGCGGUAAUACGGAGGGUGCUAGCGUUAAUCAGAAUUACUGGGCGUAAAGAGCACGUAGGUGGUUUUUUUAAGUCAGAUGUGAAAUCCCUGGGCUUAACCUGGAACUGCAUUUUGAAACUGAAAUACUAGAGUAUCGUAGAGGGAGGUAGAAUUCUAGGUGUAGCGGUGAAAUGCGUAGAUAUCUGGAGGAAUACCUGUGGCGAAAGCGGGCCUCCUAAACGAAUACUGACACUGAGGUGCGAAAGCGUGGGGAGCAAACAGGGAUUAGAUACC
rnacentral:rRNA from 1 species